rnacentral:rRNA from 1 species
GUGUCAGCCGCCGCGGUAAUACGAAGGGGGCUAGCGUUGUUCGGAAUAACUGGGCGUAAAGGGCGCGUAGGCGGUUAGAUACGUCUGAUGUGAAAGUCCUGGGCUUAACCUAGGGACUGCAUUGGAUACGGUUUAGCUUGAGUGCGAGAGGGGAAAAUGGAAUUGCGCGUGUAGAGGUGAAAUUCGUAGAGAUGCGCAAGAACACCAGUGGCGAAGGCGAUUUUCUGGCUCGCAACUGACGCUGAGGCGCGAAAGCGUGGGGAGCAAACAGGAUUAGAAACCCUGGUAGUCC